CCAGCUGUGCAGUCCUGAAGGAUGCUGGGUACACCUACUCCGGAAGUUACGUCAUCGACCCUGACGGACCGGAAGCCGGAGUUGAGCCCUUCCCUGUACUGUGCGACCUUGACAAUGGCACCACGUUGGUCGGCCAUGACAGUGAGGCCCGUACCAGAGUAAGCCCCGGGUGUGAGGCGGCGGGGUGUUACAGCAGGGAGGUGAAGUACCUUGCUACACCGGACCAGCUCAGCGCUCUAGUCGCCGUGUCUAACUCAUGCAGGCAGUUCUUUAAGUACGAGUGCCACAACUCCAUCCUGAACAUCGCGUGGUGGCGCUCCCCCGGCGGACAGAGACAGGUUCACUGGGCAGGCGCGGGCUCUGGCAGACACACGUGCUCGUGCGGGGAA